GACGAUUUCAGAGGUGGCCAGGAAAUUAU
rnacentral:piRNA from 1 species